AAGGGAGACCUAAUUCAGGUAGGAGACGAAAAAAAAGUAGUCGCUACCAAGAAUCAAUCCCAAAAGGUCGGAGCGAGGCGAAAUUGGCUUUCAAACUAGGUUCUGGGUUCACACAAGACCUGAAUCAGGAACAAGGGCUAUUAGCUCAGGUGGUUAGAGCGCACCCCUGAUAAGGGUGAGGUCCCUGGUUCGAGUCCAGGAUGGCCCACCUGUACAGGUGGCAAAAACAAGAGAAGCGAGGAAUCAGCACCUUAUCUUAUCUAUAUAUAAGAGAGAAUGCUGGCUCUGAGUAAAGAGUCCAGAGGAACCUUGAAAACUGCAUAGAGCUAGGUGAAAAAGCCAAAAAAGAAGACCGCAA
rnacentral:tRNA from 1 species